rnacentral:rRNA from 1 species
CCCCUAGAUGUUCUGGGCCGCACGCGCGCUACACUGAACAGUUCAACAAGUCUUAACCUUGGCCGAUAGGUCUGGGUAAUCUUUGAACGCUGUUCGUGAUUGGGAUAGACCUUUGCAAUUAUGGGUCUUCAACGAGGAAUUCCUAGUAAACGCAAGUCAUCAGCUUGCAUUGAUUACGUCCCUGCCCUUUGUACACACCGCCCGUCGCAUCUACCGAUUGAAUGGUCCGGUGAAAUCUCGGGACGGCGGCUUGGUCGCUUGCGUCCGACUGCUGAAACUUGAUUAAACCAUAUCAUUUAGAGGAAGGUGAANUCGUANCA